UACGUAGGCGGCAAGCGUUGUCCGGAAUCAUUGGGCUUAAAGGGUCCGUAGGCGGGCUAAUAAGUCAGUGGUGAAAGUCUGCAGCUCAACUGUAGAACUGCCAUUGAUACUGUUAGACUUGAGUAAUUAUGUAGUGGUUAGAAUAUGUAGUGUAGCGGUGAAAUGCAUAGAUAUUACAUAGAAUACCGAUUGCGAAGGCAGAUCACUAAUAAAAUACUGACGCUGAUGGACGAAAGCGUAGGUAGCGAACAGG
rnacentral:misc_RNA from 1 species